ACUGUCAGCUGCAAAUUGAAAUGCUCAUCUCUGGCUAUAAUUUUGGCUGAAAAGGGAAUGAAAGUGAUGUUGAGCUCCUGGAGGACACUGUGGACACAUAAUGUGGAUUAAUGACCUUCGACUGGAUCUCAGUAGAUCAUUGUGCAGAAGCUCAUCACUCAACUUAAUCCACGAACUCGCCAAAGGUCAAUGGUGACUACAAAGUCUAUAGGAACCUUCUGCUUUGUCAUGAUGAGUGACAGCUCCUCAUCUCCCAGAACGAGUUCGUGGCCAGAAGCCCCCCUGCUCCAGUGCAGGUACCUCACAUCUCUCCACCCCAG